GAUGAACGCUGGCGGCGUGCCUAAUACAUGCAAGUCGAACGAAACUUCUUUAUCACCGAGUGCUUGCACUCACCGAUAAAGAGUUGAGUGGCGAACGGGUGAGUAACACGUGGGCAACCUGCCCAAAAGAGGGGGAUAACACUUGGAAACAGGUGCUAAUACCGCAUAACCAUAGUUACCGCAUGGUAACUAUGUAAAAGGUGGCUAUACUACCGCUUUUGGAUGGGCCCGCGGCGCAUUAGCUAGUUGGUAGGGUAAAGGCUUACCAAGGCAUGAUGCGUAGCCGAAUUGAGAGGUUGAUCGGCCACAUUGGGACUGAGACACGGCCCAAACUCCUACGGGAGGCAGCAGUAGGGAAUCUUCCACAAUGGGCGAAAGCCUGAUGGAGCAACGCCGCGUGGGUGAAGAAGGUCUUCGGAUCGUAAAACCCUGUUGUUAGAGAAGAAAGUGCGUGAGAGUAACUGUUCACGUUUCGACGGUAUCUAACCAGAAAGCCACGGCUAACUACGUG
rnacentral:rRNA from 1 species